rnacentral:rRNA from 1 species
CCUACGGGAGGCUGCAGUGGGGAAUAUUGGACAAUGGGCGAAAGCCUGAUCCAGCCAUGCCGCGUGUGUGAAGAAGGCCUUCGGGUUGUAAAGCACUUUCAGUGGGGAAGAAAGCCUUGGGGCUAAUACCCUCGAGGAAGGACAUCACCCACAGAAGAAGCACCGGCUAACUCCGUGCCAGCAGCCGCGGUAAUACGGAGGGUGCGAGCGUUAAUCGGAAUUACUGGGCGUAAAGCGCGCGUAGGCGGUCUGAUAAGCCGGUUGUGAAAGCCCCGGGCUCAACCUGGGAACGGCAUCCGGAACUGUCAGGCUAGAGUGCAGGAGAGGAAGGUAGAAUUCCCGGUGUAGCGGUGAAAUGCGUAGAGAUCGGGAGGAAUACCGGUGGCGAAGGCGGCCUUCUGGACUGACACUGACGCUGAGGUGCGAAAGCGUGGGUAGCAAACAGGAUUAGAUACCCUUGUAGUC